UGAGGAAUAUUGGUCAAUGGGCGGGAGCCUGAACCAGCCAAGCCGCGUGAGGGAGGAAGGCCCUAUGGGUCGUAAAUCCUCUUUUGUCAGGGAACAAAAGCGAGUAUGUAUACUAGUCUGAGUGUACCUGAAGAAAAACGCAUCGGCUAACUCCGUGCCAGCAGCCGCGGUAAUACGGAGGAUGCGAGCGUUAUCCGGAUUUAUUGGGUUUAAAGGGUGCGUAGGCGGCGGUGCAAGUCAGCGGUAAAAGCCCGGGGCUCAACCCCGGCCGAGCCGUUGAAACUGCAGUGCUAGAGAAGGCGAGAGGUACGCGGAAUGCACAGUGUAGCGGUGAAAUGCUUAGAUAUUGCGCAGAACUCCGAUUGCGAAGGCAGCGUACUGGCGCCUGACUGACGCUGAGGCACGAAAGCGUGGGGAUCGAACAGGAUUAGAUACCC
rnacentral:rRNA from 1 species